UUAGGGUUCGAUUCCGGAGAGGGAGCCUGAGAAACGGCUACCACAUCCAAGGAAGGCAGCAGGCGCGCAAAUUACCCAAUCCCGAUACGGGGAGGUAGUGACAAUAAAUAACAAUACAGGGCUCUUAUGGGUCUUGUAAUUGGAAUGAGUACAAUUUAAAUCCCUUAACGAGGAACAAUUGGAGGGCAAGUCUGGUGCCAGCAGCCGCGGUAAUUCCAGCUCCAAUAGCGUAUAUUAAAGUUGUUGCAGUUAAAAAGCUCGUAGUUGAAUUUCGGGGUUCUACCGUUGGUCGGGCAAUAGUCUGUACUGGCGUGUAGAAUUUCUACCUUCUGGGGAACCAUCAUGUUAUUUAUUUAGCGUGGUGGGAAACCAGGACCUUUACCUUGAAAAAAUUAGAGUGUUCAAAGCANGCUUACGUCUGAAUACAUUAGCAUGGAAUAAUAAAAUAGGACGGUGGUCCUGUUUUGUUGGUUUCUGAAUCACCGUAAUGAUUAAUAGGGAUAGUUGGGGGCAUUAGUAUUCAAUUGUCAGAGGUGAAAUUCUUGGAUUUAUUGAAGACUAACUUCUGCGAAGCAUUUGCCAAGGAUGUUUUCAUUAAUCAAGAACGAAAGUUAAGGGAUCGAAGACGAUCAGAUACCGUCGUAGUCUUAACCAUAAACUAUGCCGACUAGGAUCGACGAUGUUAAAUUUUUCUUGACUCGUUCGGCGCCUUACG
rnacentral:rRNA from 1 species